rnacentral:rRNA from 1 species
GACGAACGCUGGCGGCGUGCUUAACACAUGCAAGUCGAACGAAGAGCGACGGAAGCUUGCUUCUAUCAAUCUUAGUGGCGAACGGGUGAGUAACGCGUAAUCAACCUGCCCUUCAGAGGGGGACAACAGUUGGAAACGACUGCUAAUACCGCAUACGAUCUAAUCUCGGCAUCGAGGAUGGAUGAAAGGUGGCCUCUACAUGUAAGCUAUCACUGAAGGAGGGGAUUGCGUCUGAUUAGCUAGUUGGAGGGGUAACGGCCCACCAAGGCGAUGAUCAGUAGCCGGUCUGAGAGGAAGAACGGCCACAUUGGGACUGAGACACGGCCCAGAAUCCUACGGGAGGCAGCAGUGGGGAAUCUUCCGCAAUGGACGGAAGUCUGACGGAGCAACGCCGCGUGAGUGAUGACGGCCUUCGGGUUGUAAAGCUCUGUUAAUCGGGACGAAAGGCCUUCUUGCGAAUAGUGAGAAGGAUUGACGGUACCGGAAUAGAAAGCCACGGCUAACUACGUG